ACUGCCCGGUAGCUAAAUGCGGAAGAGAUAAGUGCUGAAAGCAUCUAAGCACGAAACUUGCCCCGAGAUGAGUUCUCCCUGACUCCUUGAGAGUCCUGAAGGAACGUUGAAGACGACGACGUUGAUAGGCCGGGUGUGUAAGCGCAGCGAUGCGUUGAGCUAACCGGUACUAAUGAACCGUGAGGCUUAACCUU
rnacentral:rRNA from 1 species